ensembl:snoRNA Small nucleolar RNA SNORA15
GCAUGGCUGAAUUCUGUUUUACUGAAUCUGUUGUAAAUGCAGUCAGACACCAUGCAAGAGCACCUUUCUCUCUUAUUUUGAAAUGGUGAUGGAUGCUGGAAAUCUCAUCAAACAUUUAAGGGAGAACACAU